GGUUUCAUUUAAAUACCGCCUUGAACGGGCCGAUCCUGUCUGACCUCGGAAGCUAAGCAGGGUCGGGCCUGAUUAAUACUUGGAUGGGAGACCACCUAAGAAGACCGGGUGAUGUAGGCU
ensembl:rRNA 5S_rRNA 5S ribosomal RNA